rnacentral:rRNA from 1 species
CACCUGCUGAAUUUAAGCAUAUAAGUAAGCGGAGGACAAGAAACUAAACAGGAUCCCCAUAGUAAUGGCGAAUGAGCCGGGAUAAACUCAGCAUGGAAAUUGGGGCCUUUGGCUUUGACUUGUAAUCUGGUGAGGCAUUGCCAACAGAGGCGCAUAUGUAAGUCUCUUGGAAAAGAGCAUCAACGAAGGUGAGAGUCCUGAUUGUCAUGUGCAGCCCCCCUGUGCACGGUGUGCCUUCUAAGAGUCACGUUCCUUGGGAUUGGAGCGCAAAUUGGGUGGUAACUUUCAUCUGAAGUUAAACAAUGGUUUGGGACCGAUAGGAAACAAGUACCAUGAGGGAAAGGUGAAAAGGACUUUGGAAAGAGAGUUAAAAGUGCCUGAAAUUGCUGAAGGGGAAGCGAAUGGAACCAGUGGUGCUGGGUGAGAUUGUCACAUGCUGCAAGGAUUGGUUGCUGCCACAACGCAAGUGUGCUGGCAAUUUGUGAACUGCUAGUGUGUGGUGUGUCUUACCUAGUGGGUCAUUGUGGGUUUAUGCAUUAAGAUAAAUCAAAGCAAGCGGGAGCAAGUUUACGAGUUUGUGAAUGUGUGUUGUUAUGCUUGUGCGUAAGCUUUAGUGUUUGUCUGGCUGCAGGGCUGUCCAUCCUCAAGCUUUGCUGUGGUUGCGAUGAGCAUAACCUUCUGCACAGAUCUUGACGAAAUGGUUUCAUUCGACCCGUCUUGAAACACGGACCAAGG